GUUCCGCUGGAUUCAGGUUCUACAGUCUCCGGGUUCCACCGCUCCCGGAUUCCAUUGCCCCGAGGUUCCGUUGCCUUCAGUUUCCGAGGAUCCCAGGUUCCGCGAUCUCCAGAGUUCCGCCGCUUAGGCGGUUGUGCUAAUCUGCGUCAGCUGGAGUUGUAUUUGGAAGAGGCGCUGCCUCCAGUCAAGUCUGUUUUUUUCAGGUGGGGACUGUAGGCCUUUGUGCCCUGCUGGAAAUCGUGAAAAGCAAGAGAGAAGAGUCCCAGUUAUUCUUUCUGCCUUUGAUAAGUGAAUUUAGGGCAACUACUAGUGCCCUAAAGUAGGCAUGGGGGAUCUACCGAUGAAGAAGACACAAACUCUCCGCUCUCAUGGAGUUUACAGAGAAUAAUGAAUGAGAUUAAUUAAGAAAUGAAUCAGAUUAAUUGAAUGAAAUUGCCAGACUGAAUGAAGUGAAUGGCCCGAAUAUAAACAAUUUCCAAAUACAGAUAACACUGCAUCUCUGGUGUUGGCAAUACUCCCAUCACGCUUGAGGAAGAAGCACGAUGUCUGGGGCCAAGUGUGACCCUUUGUCUGUUGGGGUACCUUUCAUUUCGCACUUUCUCCUCUGCUGCUCUCCAGGCUUCCGAGGCGAUUGGGCGGUGUCAGUCUUCAGCUGCUAAGCCAAGAAGAUCUGGGAAGGAGUCAGUCAGAGAGAGCCUUGGGCCAGAGUCCCAGGGGCUCUGGGAGUGGCUGCCAGCUAACCCUAGGAUGACUGGCCUCUGACACUUGAGCCAUCCUAUCAUCUGUCGUGGGUUGACCCAUCCAACCCCUCAAUGAGCUGACCUUGAGGACCACUGACAGAGGAGCAGUCAACAGAAAUUAAUUGUUAAAUACCCAGAAAAUCUCAAAUGGUAUUUAAUAUGCAGUUCAUCAAAAGCAAAAGUUCCUUAAAUUUUCAUCUAGAAAAGUUAUUUAUAAGGGAUAAAUGUAUAAAUAUGUUGUAUGCAAAUAUUAUAUUCAAGGGCAAGACCAUGAAAACAGUUUAAGAAUCCAACAACAGGGAAUUGGAUAAAGACAUCAGAGUGCACUUGUCAAAAUACAGCUAUCAAGAAUGAUGAUGUUGAACAAUAGUUUAGCAAUAUAAUUGUCUAGAACCACAGGGAGUCUGAGAUUUUACCCAACUUGUAAGUUAACAACUCUGCCAUAGCUUCAUGAAAGAAGACACAAGACCCCUGGGUCAGGAACAAAGGUCUCUAAUACAGCACUAUCAGGAGCCAGAAUUUCAGGACCUUUAUUCCUGACAGUUUCUCAAGUCCUAAUUACCACAGAGUUACAGGAAAGGGCCAGGUAACACUAGCACUGCCAUCAGUGGCUGUAUUACAGAACAGGAACUCCAAGCUUAGGAAACCCAAAUCUUUUAUAGUUAACAAAAAACACAUCUGCCAUUGUUCUGAAGGGAGACGCUACCCCAGCCUUCCACACCUGUUUACUAUAUAAAUAUCUGUGAAAAGAUAGACAGGAAAAUAGGUGGAGAAUGCCUCUGCUCACAAGAUGUGCAGAAACGUGAGAGGCUCACGGAGAACUGUUUCCCUACAAUGACAAAAUGCUGACAAUACAUUGUUAUGUAAAAUAAAGCAGGCAUUUUUCACCUCAUUUCCAUGAAAUAUAGGUGUGUUUAUAUAGAUAUUCAGAAAAGUAUGAAAGGACAUUCAUCCAGAUAUCAAUAGAAGAGUUUAUUAUUUUUGCUAGUUGUAAGUUCAAACUUUUCUAGUAAAAAUAGAUUACUUGUGAAAUUAGUUUUAAUUUUUUUUUUUUUGAGAUGGAGUCUUGCUCUGUUGCCCAGGCUCGAGUGCAGUGGCAUGGUCUCAGCUCACUGCAACAUCCGCCUCCUGGGUUCAAGCAAUUCUCCUGCCUCAGCCUCCUGAGUAGCUGGGAUUACAGAUGCAUGCUACCACGCCUGGCUAAUUUUUGUUUUAGUAGAGACAGGAUUUCACCAUGUUGGUCAGGCUGGUCUCGAACUCCCGACCUCGUGAUCUGCUUACCUUGGCCUCCCAAAGUGCUAGAAUUACAGGUGUGAGCCACUGCACCCCUCCUAAAUGUCAAUUUAAUAACUGAGGGAGCCCUGAAAAUACCCUGCUGACUUCUGCAUGGGUGUGUAAAACGGAAUCUGCUCAAGUCUUAGAGGAGAUAAGUACAUGCUUACCAUUCUUAGGAGAGACCUGCCUUUUGACAUGGAAGCUGUGGCAUUGUUGACAACAGCACACCUCCUUGAACCAUGCAAACCACGUUCACAUCAGAGCUGCCUACGAAUGAUUAUUUUCCAUGAUGCUAUGCUCCCUCCUGCCUGCCUCAGUGGCAAGUGUGACUCAGCAAGUGUAUCCAGGGCACCCUCACUCUUACUUAUUUUUGCCAAAUGCAGUGGAAGUGUAUAGACUCUUUUUCAUAUUUAUGUUGGCUGCAGAGCAUAAAUCUGAAUAGGUUCUCCAAAGUAAGCUUUUUCUGCAUGCAUUUGCUCCCAAUGAUGAUAAGUAUUAUGAAUUGCUUUAUAGUAAUAAUUAUGCUUUUCCAUAUUUUUUACGGUUAGUCUGUGCUAUAAACUUGUUUGGUUUAAUGAUUUGGGUUCUCUCUCUCUUCUCCUCUCUCUCUCUCUCUCACACACACACACACACACACAGUUUAUUGUCUUUAAACAGGGAUAGUGAUUACCUAUAGAUUGUGAUUAGGAUCAGAUAAACUAUAAGUAUAAAGCCCUGUGGUAUAACGUGUGGGACAAAACUAACACAAUUUCAAAUUUUCUGCAACAAGUAAACAACAUUUUAUAAUUGACAAAACUAAAAACGAACUUUAAACUUAAAAAUUUAUAUUACACAAUUGACAAUUCAAUUAACUUUCCAAUAUUAAUGUCUCUGCGUAUAUAUGUGUACACAGACAUAUGCAACUUAUUUAACUUAAAAGUAUAUUUUCUAAUAGCUAUUUAAGAGCCAUCGAACUUUCCAAAAAAAGAGAUAGCUUUUAACUUGUGAUAGUUACUUGCAUAAAUUGGUAAUUUAACCAGCUAAUUAUUAAAUCCAUUAUAGACAGGAUGAAGCAGCGUUAGGAGAGGGUAUUUAUCAGUUGCCAGGGGCUGUCUCAUAGCUUAGUUGAAAUUCUUUUGGUUGCAAAUAUCACAAACCCACUUCAAAUUAGUUUAAGCUCAGGCAGUAGCUCCGAAAGUCAAAGAAAAAGCCAAAUAACCCAGUGAUCAGGAAAAAGGAAGAAUGAAGUAGGAACCUCUAAGGCCCAAGGCUGUGGAUUUUUCUUCUAGAGACUUGACAUCCACAUUACUCAGCAAUAUUUUCCCAUUUGCUUUUUCUCUUGACUUUAAUUCUAGAGAGAGAGGAAUUGAGUGGUCCAGCUUGGGUCAGGUGUCCACAUGUCCACACCUGUUGUAAGCCCCUAUGGCUAUGGCUGAGAGGUCAGGGUCACAUUACAGAAGUAUGACUGCUGGGGCCCACACCCAUGCGUGUGCAUGUGUUGUGUAUAUGCAUUUCUCUGUGUGUGGCAGGGAGUGCAAAAGUGGAGGGGGUGACACUCAGGGAUCUGUGGCUGGACUGGCAUCCCUAAAGUUCUUCUCCACACGUUUUCGCUUCAGAGGGAUAUCAAUUUCCAUUCCUUACAUUUUUAUAACAUUGUUAGAUCACUUCCUCACUCUGGAUUUUGGCGUUCUCACCAGAAGUUCAUAGGCAAUACCUAAAUGCCCUUUGAGCUUCCGCAGUGCACAUCAAUACUUCAUCCAGCAACUUGGAGGGUCCAUCUCAGUAGAAAAUUCAGCUGGUUUCACUGGGAAACACCCACUGCCCUUAGUAAUGGAGCUACCAAGAAUGAAUCAUGCUCAGAUUUGUCCUUUUAGCAGAAUAAUGCUGCCCUCUGACACCAACUGAAUAGGCUUUUAUCUUUUGGGGAAGUAAAUUUUCUUCCUCCAUGCAGCUUCAUUAAUAUUUGUGAACUGAGCCGCCAUGCUUGCCUGCAUGCCUGUGCCAGGCCCUCUUCCUGCAUCCCACUCCCCUUAAGUCACUAAUCAUCUGCACACAAGGGGCUGGAGGAAGACGGAACUUAGCCCUGGCUGGGGGCAGGGACCUGGUUGUGAACCCUUGGCCUAAUGGAGACUUGGUCAAGCAGUAUCAACUGUCAGGACUUUUAUUUCCUGAUCUGUAAACUGGGAUCAGAAUCCCCAUUUUUUUUUUUUUUUUCCCCCGUGACAGAGUCUCGCUCUGUCGCCCAGGCUGGAGCGCAGUGGCGCGAUCUCGGCUCACUGCAAGUUCUGCCUCCCAGGUUCACGCCAUUCUCCUGCCUCAGCCUCCCGAGUAGCUGGGACUACAGGCGCCAGCCACCACACCUGGCUAAUUUCUUUUUGUAUUGUCAGUAGAGACGGGGUUUCACCGUGUUAGCCAGGAUGGUCUUGAUCUCCUGACCUUGUGAUCUGCCUGUCUUGGCCUCCCAAAGUGCUGGGAUUACAGGCGUGAGCCACUGUGCCCGGCCCAGAAUCCCCAUUUUAUCCAAAGAGCUGAAAGAACUGAAAGAAGGCAGUGGGGAUAAUAAGUGUGAAUGUAGUUUGGAUGCUGUAAAGUUCUAUGUAAAUGUUAAGUAUAUUCUCCAUUAAAAAAAUCCACCAAUCUCA